GAUGAACGCUAGCGGCGUGCCUAAUGCAUGCAAGUCGAACGGGAAGCUUCGUAUUGAUACUUCGGUUGAUUUAUGGAGUGGAGAGUGGCGAACGGGUGAGUAACACGUUGGUAAUCUGCCUCAAAGAGGGGGACAACCAUUAGAAAUGAUGGCUAAUACCCCAUAUCUUAUUUAUAAGGAAAUGCUCCGGCGCUUUGAGAGGAGCCAGCGCCCCAUCAGCUUGUUGGUAAGGUAAUGGCUUACCAAGGCUCAGACGGGUAGGGGACGUGAGAGCGUGAUCCCCCACAAUGGUACUGACACACGGACCAUAUACCUACGGGUAGCAGCAGCAAGGAAUAUUGCGCAAUGGGCGAAAGCCUGACGCAGCAACGCCGCGUGGAGGAUGAAGCAUUUCGGUGCGUAAACUCCUUUUUUGAGGGAAUAGAAAGGAAGGUACCUCAAGAAUAAGCUCCGGCUAACUACG
rnacentral:rRNA from 1 species